CGAAGGAUCAUUACCGCAGUUAGGGUCCUCUGGGCUCGACCUCCUACCCUUUGUCUACCUUACCAUUUGUUGCUUCGGCGGAUCCGUCCCCUCGGGGACCGCCGAGGGGUCUAGGCCCCUUGGCCCGCGUCCGCCGGUAGCCCACAACCAAAACUCUUGUUUAAACGUGUCGUCUAAGUACAAAACAAAUAAGUAAAAACUUUCAACAACGGAUCUCUUGGUUCUGGCAUCGAUGAAGAACGCAGCGAAAUGCGAUACAUAAUGUGAAUUGCAGAAUUCAGUGAAUCAUCGAAUCUUUGAACGCACCCUUGCGCCUCUUGGUAUUCCGAGGGGCACGCCCCGUUUGAGUGUCGUGAAAUUCCCAACCCCUCCUUGGUUUUCUUUUGAAGGCUAAGAGGGCUUGGACUUGGAGGUUCUUGCUGGCAGCACUUUGCGAUCAGCUCCUCUUAAAUGCAUUAGCGAGGUUCUCUUUGCUGACCUUUGGCGUGAUAAGUAUCUACGUCUUUGGUGUGGCUCUGCUGUUAGAACCUGCUUUCUAAUCGUCUCUUUGCUGAGACAACUUGAGUCUCUUUAUUGAGGCUCUAACUCACACUCCUUGACUCAAUCGGGCGGGACUAUCNGCUGAACUUAAGCAUAUCAUAAGCGGAGGAAAGAAACUAACNNAUU
rnacentral:rRNA from 1 species